GAUGAACGCUAGCUACAGGCUUAACACAUGCAAGUCGAGGGACCGGCGCACGGGUGAGUAACGCGUAUCCAACCUGCCCACCACUUGGGGAUAACCUUGCGAAAGUAAGACUAAUACCCAAUGGUGAUGGAUGGGGAUGCGUCUGAUUAGCUUGUUGGCGGGGUAACGGCCCACCAAGGCAACGAUCAGUAGGGGUUCUGAGAGGAAGGUCCCCCACAUUGGAACUGAGACACGAUCCAAACUCCUACGGGAGGCAGCAGUGAGGAAUAUUGGUCAAUGGACGAGAGUCUGAACCAGCCAAGUAGCGUGCAGGAUGACGGCCUAUGGGUUGUAAACUGCUUUUAUAAGGGAAUAUGUACCUUAUGAAUAAGGACCGGCUAAUUCCGUGCCAGCAGCCGCGGUAAUACGGAAGGUCCGGGCGUUAUCCGGAUUUAUUGGGUUUAAAGGGAGCGUAGGCCGGAGAUUAAGCGUGUUGUGAAAUGUAGAUGCUCAACAUCUGCACUGCAGCGCGAACUGGUUUCCUUGAGUACGCACAAAGUGGGCGGAAUUCGUGGUGUAGCGGUGAAAUGCUUAGAUAUCACGAAGAACUCC
rnacentral:rRNA from 1 species